UACGUAGGGGGCAAGCGUUGUCCGGAUUUAUUGGGCGUAAAGCGCGUGUAGGCGGCCAUACAGGUCCGUUGUGAAAACUCGAGGCUCAACCUCGAGACGUCGAUGGAAACCGUAUGGCUAGAGUCCGGAAGAGGAGAGCGGAAUUCCUGGUGUAGCGGUGAAAUGCGUAGAUAUCGGGAGGAACACCAGUGGCGAAAGCGGCUCUCUAGGCCGUACCUGACGCUCGGAUGCGAAAGCCAGGGGAGAGAACGGG
rnacentral:rRNA from 1 species